ACAAACAGGAACUUACAAACGAAGACAGGAAAACAAGGGAGUGUCAUGUGACAGUCACGUGAGCGCUACUCCUCACCAUUUCUGAAGGCUGAUGUUCAAGUUGGAGAAAGUCUCAAGAAAAGGAUGUCUUCGCCUUCUCCUUCGGUUGGCAGUCAAAGUACUCCAUCCUUUCACAUGCAGGGACACUCCGACACUGAAUCCUCUGCUGGCGAGGAAUUGCGUUUUUCUCCUGAACCAAUGGAGUCA